UAUGUAACACGGUCCACUAACC
rnacentral:ncRNA from 2 species